CCAAUUUGUGUUGUGUCAGAUUUCUUUUUUGGAUGGUCAGCUAAGUUAACUCAUGAAUUUGGUAUUCGACAUUCUAAUUUUGUGGUGCUGGUGGUUUUGGAUUAAACAUACUGGUAAUCUUGAGUUUAUACUACCUGAUCUUCAAGAAGCUGGAAAAUUUCAUGUUACACAAUUGUCACUUAGUCUUGUUAUAGCUGAUGGGAAUAAUGCUUAUUCAGUUUUUCAGAUGAAAAAUCUUCCACUUUGAAAAAACUGAGAUGGGGUUCUGAUUAAUACAGUUGAGGAGUUUGAAAAUAAUGGAUUGAUGUAUUUUAGAAGAAAGUUAUGUAUACCUGUUUGGGCAAUAGGACCAAUACUUUUUCAAGAAAAUGAUACUCCUAGGAAAGAACCAAGAAUUCCUUUAGUAAAAUGUCUUCCAAAGAUUCGUUGCAGUGUAGAGACACUAAGAAAAUGUCAGCUUGUCUAUUAUGCCUACAAUUACAAGUAAGCAGACGAACGAGGCUUCAAGGUGAGUGUUUUACCUCCGUUAAGCUUUUUAUAUUUACUUUGAAUAUAUAAUAUGUGCUUGAGUAUAUAUAUGUGCUUUAAGGAUAAUAACUAUUGAUAAGAGAAGGCUUAAGCUAAAGAAAUAUCUUGCAUCUUGUAGCAAAAUGAUACAGAUUCAUAAUUUUGAGUUUUGACUAUAAGCCAGAGAGGAAAGAGCUGGAAGAAAGAACUAGAAAAGCUAAAGUGAAAACAAGUCAUUCAGAAGCUCUCACUUCGGUCAUGGAGCUCGCUCUCUUGCAAUUUCUCGUGUAGCUCCCUCUACUUGAUCUCAAAUUCUACCAGGGAGCAUCUUCAAUUGAGCAUAAGAUAAAGAGCUUUUAAUGACGUAUUUAUUGUGGCAUUUGUACUUUGGAAACUUUUAUGUAUUUGUAAAAAUAGUUUAACAAUAUUAUCAUACCAUAUCCCUUUUUUAUUGUACAACUACAAUAUUUGUUAUGAUAAUCAAACUACAAAAGAGAAGUCGUAAUUGUU